UACGGAAGGCAGCAGUGGGGAAUAUUGCACAAUGGGCGAAAGCCUGAUGCAGCUAUGCCGCGUGUAUGAAGAAGGCCUUAGGGUUGUAAAGUACUUUCAUCGGGGAGGAAAAAACAAAACUAAUAAUUUUAUUUCUUGACGUUACCCGAAAAAGAAGCACCGGCUAACUCCGUGCCAGCAGCCGCGGUAAUACGGAGGGUGCUAGCGUUAAUCAGAAUUACUGGGCGUAAAGAGCACGUAGGUGGUUUUUUUAAGUCAGAUGUGAAAUCCCUGGGCUUAACCUGGAACUGCAUUUUGAAACUGAAAUACUAGAGUAUCGUAGAGGGAGGUAGAAUUCUAGGUGUAGCGGUGAAAUGCGUAGAUAUCUGGAGGAAUACCUGUGGCGAAAGCGGCCUCUAAACGAAUACUGACACUGAGGUGCGAAAGCGUUGGGGAGCAAACAGGGAUUAGAUACC
rnacentral:rRNA from 1 species